rnacentral:rRNA from 1 species
AUUGAACGCUGGCGGCAGGCUUAACACAUGCAAGUCGAGCGGGGUGAUGGUGCUUGCACUAUCACUUAGCGGCGGACGGGUGAGUAAUGCUUAGGAAUCUGCCUAUUAGUGGGGGACAACAUCUCGAAAGGGAUGCUAAUACCGCAUACGUCCUACGGGAGAAAGCAGGGGAUCACUUGUGACCUUGCGCUAAUAGAUGAGCCUAAGUCGGAUUAGCUAGUUGGUGGGGUAAAGGCCUACCAGGGCGACGAUCUGUAGCGGGUCUGUGAGGAUGAUCCUCCACACUGGGACAGAGACACGGCCCAGACUCCUACGGGAGGCAGCAGUGGGGAAUAUUGGACAAUGGGAGGAACCCUGAGCCAGCCAUGCCGCGUGUGUGAAGAAGGCCUUAUGGUUGUAAAGCUCUUUAAGCGAGUAGGAGGCUCUUUUGGUUAAUACCCAAGAUGAGUGGACGUUACUCGCAGAAUAAGCACCGGCUAACUCUGUGCCAGCAGCCGCCGUAA